rnacentral:tRNA from 1 species
GGCCUUGUGGUCUAAUAGGAUAAGGCCUUGGCCUCCGGAGCCAAAUGAUGUGGGUUCGAGUCCCGCCAAGGCCU